rnacentral:lncRNA from 1 species
AACGAUAGCUCUUCGAAACUCAUCAAAAUUAUUUACAACUAUGCAACAGAAAAACAUUUCAUAGCAACUUCAUAAAUAAAGUAAUAAACUUUAAACCGACAAAAUCAACAUUAACUCAAAAAACAUAACAACCCUCUCCCCUAUGUUACACAAUCAUAACACUAGAAACCACUAAUGUAUGACAAAAUGAUAAAUAAAGAAACAAAUAGUAGCUCCAACAAGCCACCUU